CGGCCGCGGUACCCUGACCGUGCGAAGGUAGCAUAAUCACUUGUUCUUUAAAUAAGGACUAGUAUCAACGGCAUCACGAGGGUUUUACUGUCUCCCCUCUCUAAUCAGUGAAACUGACUUCCCCGUGAAGAGGCGGGGAUAUAACUACAAGACGAGAAGACCCCAUGGAGCUUUAAACCCACUAACAACCUCUAACUAAACACACCCACGUAAAUGAAAAGUACUGUAUAGUGGUUUUAGGUUGGGGUGACCACGGAGUAAAACUAAACCUCCAUGACGAACGGAAAUCCAUCCUAAUCCACGAGCCACCGCUCUAAGAAUCAAAAACUUGACAUAAAAUGAUCCGGUAACCGAUCAACGAACCAAGUUACCCUGGGGAUAACAGCGCAAUCCAUUUCAAGAGCCCCUAUCGACAAAUGGGUUUACGACCUCGAUGUUGGAUCAGGGUAUCCCAGUGGUGCAGCCGCUACUAAAGGUUUGUUUGUUCAACAAUUAAAACCCUACGUGAUCU
rnacentral:rRNA from 1 species